UUACAAGUAAUCAAAAUUAAUAUAAAAAGCAAAGAAAAAAUAAACACAAAAAUUUAGAGGAAAAACCAAAACAAGUGGAAGACAGCGAGAGCACAACAAGAAAGCAAGAACCAGGCAAGAGCAAAGCAAAGCAAAGCAAAAAGGAAUACAUUAUUAUUAUCCACAUAAAAGCAAUCAAAAAGCAACAGCAACAAAAGUGCCAUAUGCAACCGAUAAGACUGUGUGAAGUGGUCAAGGAAAAGCGACAGCAACGGCAGCAGGACAAGGAGCAGGAGCCGCAGCAGCAGCAACAACAACAA